GUCCCUGUUGUGCAACGGAUAGCGCGUUGGGCUUCUAAUCCAAAGGUUGAGGGUUCAAAUCCCUCCUGGGAUG